rnacentral:rRNA from 1 species
CAGCCGCCACGGUAAUACGUAGGGUGCGAGCGUUAAUCGGAAUUACUGGGCGUAAAGCGUGCGCAGGCGGUUCGUUAAGACAGAUGUGAAAUCCCCGGGCUUAACCUGGGAACUGCAUUUGUGACUGGCGAGCUAGAGUAUGGCAGAGGGGGGUAGAAUUCCACGUGUAGCAGUGAAAUGCGUAGAGAUGUGGAGGAAUACCGAUGGCGAAGGCAGCCCCCUGGGCCAAUACUGACGCCCAUGCACGAAAGCGUGGGGAGCAAACAGGAUUAGAUACCCCAGUAGUCCCUGUCUCUUAUAC